AUGAGUUGUUUGAGCUAGAACUGCCAGGGGAUUGGGAACCCUGAGGAAGUUCAUGAGCUUCGGAGUAUUGUGAAAAUGGAAGGUCCCACUCUUCUAUUUGUUAAGGAAACGAAAAUUAGAGCAAAAAGAGUUGAUGAUUUACAACAUACUCUUGGUUUCGGAGGUUGCUUUGAUGUUGACAGUGCCGGCCUUAGUGGCGGCAUUGGUUUGUUUUGGUUCUAG
rnacentral:rRNA from 1 species